CUUACCAUGCAAGUCGAGCGGGGAAAGGUAGCUUGCUACCUGACCUAGCGGCGGACGGGUGAGUAAUGCUUAGGAAUCUGCCUAUUAGUGGGGGACAACAUCUCGAAAGGGAUGCUAAUACCGCAUACGUCCUACGGGAGAAAGCAGGGGACCUUCGGGCCUUGCGCUAAUAGAUGAGCCUAAGUCGGAUUAGCUAGUUGGUGGGGUAAAGGCCUACCAAGGCGACGAUCUGUAGCGGGUCUGAGAGGAUGAUCCGCCACACUGGGACUGAGACACGGCCCAGACUCCUACGGGAGGCAGCAGUGGGGAAUAUUGGACAAUGGGGGGAACCCUGAUCCAGCCAUGCCGCGUGUGUGAAGAAGGCCUUUUGGUUGUAAAGCACUUUAAGCGAGGAGGAGGCUACCGAGAUUAAUACUCUUGGAUAGUGGACGUUACUCGCAGAAUAAGCACCGGCUAACUCUGUGCCAGCAGCCGCGGUAAU
rnacentral:rRNA from 1 species